rnacentral:rRNA from 1 species
UACGGAGGGUGCAAGCGUUGUCCGGAAUCACUGGGCGUAAAGGGCGCGUAGGCGGCUCAUGAAGGCUGUGGUGAAAGUCCGGGGCUCAACCUCGGAUCGGCCGUGGCGACUCGUGGGCUGGAGCACUGUAGAGGCGGGUGGAAUUCCGGGUGUAGCGGUGGAAUGCGUAGAGAUCCGGAGGAACACCGGUGGCGAAGGCGGCCCGCUGGGCAGUGGCUGACGCUGAGGCGCGACAGCGUGGGGAGCAAACAGG